rnacentral:rRNA from 1 species
AAUGGGCGCAAGCCUGACCCAGCCAUGCCGCGUGAAGGAUGAAUGCCCUAUGGGUUGUAAACUUCUUUUUUACGGGAAGAAACUCCUGAACGUGUUCGGGAUUGACGGUACCGUAUGAAUAAGCAUCGGCUAACUCCGUGCCAGCAGCCGCGGUAAUACGGAGGAUGCAAGCGUUAUCCGGAUUUAUUGGGUUUAAAGGGUGCGUAGGCGGGAUAAUAAGUCAGUGGUGAAAGCCUGUAGCUUAACUAUAGAAAUGCCAUUGAUACUGUUGUCCUUGAGUACAGUUGAGGUAGGCGGAAUGUGUAAUGUAGCGGUGAAAUGCUUAGAUAUUACACAGAACACCGAUUGCGAAGGCAGCUUACUAAGCUGGUACUGACGCUGAGGCACGAAAGCGUGGGGAGCAAA